AUUGAACGCUGGCGGCAUGCCUUACACAUGCAAGUCGAACGGCAGCACGGGAGCAAUCCUGGUGGCGAGUGGCGAACGGGUGAGUAAAGUAUCGGAACGUGCCCAGUCGUGGGGGAUAACGUAGCGAAAGUUACGCUAAUACCGCAUACGAUCUAUGGAUGAAAGCGGGGGAUCGCAAGACCUCGCGCGAUUGGAGCGGCCGAUAUCAGAUUAGGUAGUUGGUGGGGUAAAGGCUCACCAAGCCGACGAUCUGUAGCUGGUCUGAGAGGACGACCAGCCACACUGGGACUGAGACACGGCCCAGACUCCUACGGGAGGCAGCAGUGGGGAAUUUUGGACAAUGGGCGAAAGCCUGAUCCAGCCAUGCCGCGUGCAGGAUGAAGGCCUUCGGGUUGUAAACUGCUUUUGUACGGAACGAAAAGGUUUGGCCUAAUAAGCUGAGCUCAUGACGGUACCGUAAGAAUAAGCACCGGCUAACUACGUGCCAGCAGCCGCGGUAAUACGUAGGGUGCGAGCGUUAAUCGGAAUUACUGGGCGUAAAGCGUGCGCAGGCGGUUAUGUAAGACAGAUGUGAAAUCCCCGGGCUCAACCUGGGAACUGCAUUAGUGACUGCAUAGCUGGAGUACGGCAGAGGGGGAUGGAAUUCCGCGUGUAGCAGUGAAAUGCGUAGAUAUGCGGAGGAACACCGAUGGCGAAG
rnacentral:rRNA from 1 species